rnacentral:lncRNA from 1 species
UUUCUAUUUCUUCCCCACGCAGACAUCUCUCCCUCUCUUCGCUCCCUCUCUCGGCCGCCUCUCUCUCUCUCUCCCCCCCCUUCUCCGGCGAACGGCGCCGGUUUUCGCCGUCUCCGGCGCCGCGAGGCCGGCACCUCUCCUUCUCCCCCUUUCUUUCAUUUAUUUCCCCCAAAUUCUCAAGCUACAAACUACCUAGGGUUUUUAAGUUUCCCCAUUUCAAAUCUGCUCGUCCGGUGAACUCCAGUGAAUAACGCCGUCUCCGUCGCUACUGCCGCUGCCUGAACGUUGCGCUGCCGUCCCUGCCUCAGGUAUGCCUUUGCCCUUUCUCUGCUCUCCCUAUCAAUCUCCCUCUCUCGAUCUCUCUCUAUUUCACUUUCUUUCUCCCUCGCUUAAACUCUUUCUUGCUGUCGGCAACCACCGCGGACCACCGUGGCAGUGCCAGCGGUCGCCGCCGCCACCAACCGCGCCUCCGCUGCGGUGGCUCGCGCCUGCUGCUGCCAUUCCCCUCCUUCACCUUAUUUCCUUUUUCUUUUGUGCUCUUCAAUCUAUUUUCCAGUUUAACACCUCGUAUUAAUAAAUCCCUAACUAUUUCCUAUUUCAGGAAUCGACUAGCGUCGUUGCUUCGAGACCUCUCCGGCGAGCCAGCCCAUCUACUGCUCAAGACUCUUAUCUUUUUUACCAUUCUUUUGUUAUUAAUCUGCUUUCUUAUUCGAAUACUGCAAAAUUAAGGUUUUGAUGGUGAAGCACAGUGUACUAAUUAACUAUGCUUAUGUUUAAUCUGGUGUGGCUAUGUCCUUUCUGCUGUUCUUGAUUGUCUUUUUUUUUUUUAUAUACAAGGAAUUGAUUGAAGAACAUACGGAGAUACACACAGAGAUACUACCUGCUUGGUUAAGUGAACUGCUGUGAGAGAUUUUUGGACAUGAUUGGUGAACUGCUGUGACAGAUUCUUGGAGAUAAUUGGUGAACUGAACCGAGUUGCAGGGUGAAGAAAAAUGGCUGAUCGUGAGAAGGAAAAUACUUAUACUAUCUCUAAGGCGGUUUGGAAAAUAGCUGAGUAAUGAGUGGAGAGCCACGUGUUGUUUGAGCAGCCAAUAUACUUUGAUAAUCCAAUUUGCACAAUUGUACUAAUAAGAGUAGGUUAAUCUACUGAUUUAAAAGAGUUGAACUUGGGCCUCUUCUCAGAUACCUACAUAACCUUUGGCCCAAAUACUAAAGUAUUGGGCUUAAUAAUCACUUGCCCAAAUAAUAUUAAUAAUAUAUAGUAUACUGUAGUGAAAAUGCCGGAUGUUACAGAAACACAAUAUUUGGCCACUAAUUGAAAAAUUACAAAAUUUGAUCAUUUUUUACGUUUUAAGACUGUUUUGACCUUAAUUAGGGC